UAGCCUUCCUCUCUCAAGUCUUUGUCAAACUUCUAGCAAAGCAACUCCUGUCCAAACUAUAUUUGAAGCUCUUCUGCAGGAGCCGCGGGGCCAAACUGAUUGGGAGGAUCGUUAGCAAACAACCAAGGGAACCAGUAGAACUUACUUCCUUGGAAAGAUGUUUCGAAAAGGAAAGGUCCAGAGUGAGGGCAGUGCCCUUCUUAGAGGCAGAGCAGUGAACACAGUGACCUCCAGGAUGAAGGAGAGUGGGUGGGGUUGGCUGGAAAAGCAAGACAGCCUGCAAUUUAGUGGGUGGAUUGUUGGAUUUGACGUGAGUUCUUCUUGGCUACUUGGGAUGGAACUUUUGUUUUGGAGUUUGGAAUGAGCUCAGAGACUGACAAAAACACAGGGAGGAGGCGGGAGGGAAGGAGGGAACCGGGGGCAUUGUGGAAUUCGUACAAGCUGGCUGCAUGUUCCCUGGCCUCUCUCUGCGUUUCUUUAAGCACCUCCCCUGCACCAAGCGCCUCCUUUGGGAGAGACUGUUUCCUAAUUCAACUGAGAUUCACAGACCCAGGGCCCUUGUUAGGAAAUGUCCUCAGGAAAUGCUCUUGAAAUAGGUGGCUUCCCUGGUAUCUCCAUACUUCGCCUGUAGGUCCACUUUCACUCAUCUUCAGUGAAAGCAGGAAGGGCCCAAGGACCACCCUGCAUAACAAAGUUGAAGGAAACAGGAAUGCUCAAAAGCACUGCCCAUCUCCGACCCUGCCGUUCACAGCUUCCUCACCUGGGAUUGUUGCUCAGCGUCCAUGGAUGGACUUCAGAGGCGUGUGUGACAUUUUCCUGAGGUUGGCUGGACAGAAGACACAAUUCUUGAGGUUCAAGGAACUGCUAAAGGAGAACUGUGGCCCCCACGAGUCUGUGAGUCUAGUGAACUGGAAUGUUGACACGUUAUGCUAAGUGGUAUCUUCAAGAAGUCUGUGGAUAGAAAGAAGCAGCAGAAGCUGGAGAUCCUUCUUACCGGUGGCAAGAGCUUGGAAAACUCCCUCAGACGCUCAUUCGCCUCCACGAACAAACAGCCUGGAUUCCCUGCUGGUCGGCUGGACCAGGAAGAAAGGGUGGGAGCUAGUCAGCCAUGGAUCUUAAGCUCCAGCUGUUUGAGAAUAUGUUUCUUUUCUCUUGCCCUCUCCCUCGUCUCAUCUUUUCUAUCCUUCACCCGGUUCUCCUAAUCCUUCGAAAGAGAGGCACAAGGUUUUCUUCUCCCCAGAGCAACCAGAGAGAGAAAGCAAAAAAGCUUUCGCUCCAAGGAACUCUGCUCCUGUUUUAUGGGGUUUGUCAAUAACGUUCCUUCACUAAGAUAGCAUCUCAGCAGAAUGAAAGAGCCCUCUGCUCUUCGUGAAAAGAGCUGUUUUCUCUUGGGGGUGUGGGGGGGUCAUUAAAUAAACCUGUUUUUUAAAAAAG
rnacentral:lncRNA from 1 species